CUUGUUUUAUAUAAGGUUAAUCUACUUUGUACAUUAUCCCUUGUUCAAAUAAGGAAAUUCAAAAUUCAAAAGGACAGGAUGUCUUUGAGAGAAAUGCACCACAGCCCCCCCAUCAAGCCAACACCCAUCACAAAGGCUGCAAAGACAAUUCCCAUCACUGGUCCUGUCUGCACCACAGAGCCUAGAGACAGCGUUCAUGAGGGAUUGUGAUGGGUCAGUGAGGGGUCUGAGGAACAGCCGUCCCUGAUGACAGUCCAGAAAGGAGACUUUUUUGGGUCUGACAGGGGGGAGACCACACAUGACUUCACCUCCACAACAUCUGUAAAGGGCCCUUUUGCAGAAAUCUGUAGAAUUGAGAACGAAACAGUGAUGACGAAGACAAAUUGUACUUACAUUUUUGGACAAGAUGUUGUAAAUGAACAGAAUUAAAUGAUGCACCAUGUCA